UAACACGUAGGGAACCGUGCCCAUGCGGCCGGGACAACUUCCGGAAACGGAUGCUGAUACCGGAUAAGGAAAGCGAAGGCAUCUUUGCUUUGUUAAAGGAGCUGCAAGGCUCCGCGCAUGGAUGGACCUGCGGUGCAUUAGCUGGUUGGUGAGGUAAAGGCUCACCAAGGCGACGAUGCAUAGCCGGCCUGAGAGGGCGAACGGCCACACUGGGACUGAGACACGGCCCAGACUCCUACGGGAGGCAGCAG
rnacentral:rRNA from 1 species